UCUUUCAAAGUUGAGCUAUCAAAACUAAAAAAAUUCAGUUUUUCAGCAAGAUUUUUAAAAUUUUGUAAUCUGUGAAACUUUUUAAACAAUCAUAACUCAUUCGUUUUAAGUCGGAUUGACCGGCGGUUUUUUCCAACAUUUAGUUUACAAUUUGUAGAUGAAUUUAGACUAUAAUUUUGUUGAUUUUGGUAUUAUAUUCAGUGAGUUACAAUCCUUCAAAGUUAAGCUAUCAAAACUGAAAUAUUUCAACUUUUUAACUAUUAUUUUAGACUAUAAUUAUGAAUUUUAUGUAUCUUUGAAAGAUAAAUCAUAUGAAAGGGAUCAUGGUGAACUUGAUUUAUAUGUUAGUUGCUUUUAUUUGGAAAAUUAAUUUUGCAAGUUAUAAUAUUCUAACAUCAAGGUAGAUUAGUUAUGCAUGAAACGGAAAUGUAAUCAUUUUUACAAGUUAUAUCGUAUCAAACUCAAUAACAUAUUCGUUUUAACGAGUUCUAUCAAACCCAAAAACAUAUUCUAACGACUUGUACUCUAUGCAUGAAACGAAAACGUAAUCAUUUUUACAAGUUAUAUCGUAUCAAACCCAAUAACAUAUUCGUUUUAAUGAGUUCUAUCAAACCCAAAAACAUAUUUUAACGACUUGUACUCUAUGCAAUUAAAGUUGUACCGGUCCAAGCGGGUCCAAGAACCGGAAAACCCGGACCUGGACCCGGACACGGACACGACUCAUCGAUCCGGUCCACGGUCCACAAUAUUAUCCAUAACCGGUCCGAUCCAAGAGCCGGUCUGGUCCGGUUCGGUACAAAUGCUCACCCCUAAUAUGGAGUGACUUGAAUCAUCACUAAUUCAGCGUAGAAGUACACCAUGUGUUCCAUUUGUUCCUAUUCCAUUCCAAAUAUCAUAAUCAUAAUCAGAACUAAAGGGUUAAAUAUCUAAGAAUCAUAAUUAAACACUCAUGUUAAUCUUCGGUGGGGUUGUGGCGACUUUGAUGAACCGAAUGAGAAACACAUACGGCGUCGGAAUGAAUAAAUUCCAUUCUAAUCGACCUAGAAUCCGCUUUUCCAUCACUAAACAUGUUGAUGUCCGUAAGCUCUAUCAGAUAUUUGAACAAAAUCGUUGACUUCCGGAGCCUAUAUUUCUUCAAUUUUGAUACAAUAAGCAUUGCACUCACUCAGACACACUCUAAUUCUCUUCUAGCAACAGUUAAAACUUCAUACAUCAAAAACAUAUAUGUAUCCAUUGUGAGUUGGUGGAAUCUGUAUCCACUAUAAUUCUCUCAUUGUUGGUAUCUUGAGCAUCACUGUCGAAGAUAUUCGUUUGUUUUGGUUUGUAGUUAAGGCAACUAUAAUUCUCUCAUUGUUGAUAUCUUGAGCAUCAAUGUCGAAGAUAUUCGUUUUUUUGGUUUGUAGUUAAGGCAACAGACAGCUUUGCUCUGGCAGUUAGUGCUGAAGUGAGUGACAAUUGAGGGUCUUUGUUUUGAGAAGAUGAAAAAGAUCCUGAUUUCUUCUCUUCUUGGUUGUCCGGACUGAUUUCGAUUACAAUUGCAUUUUCUGGCACCGAUGGUGGUUUUGGUUUGGAUGUGGCCUUCUUCUUGGCUGAUUUGACUGACAUUGGUUUCUAUAAUUAAGAUUCAGGAAGAUGAAUUGUUAAUGAAAAAAGAUUUGAUGAAAAGUUUAUGUGAAUAAUCGAUUAAAAAAAUUGGAGAAAACUUUCACCUUUUUGUUUUCAGCUGCGUCUUGUUGGGAGAAUUGAGAGACGAGGAGGAGGAGGAGGAAGAUUUUGACUUUUCAAAGUCAUUGUUAAUAGAAAAUAGGUUAAUGUCUAUGUGGCAAAUGGGUAACCGGAUUACCUUUUUCAUUUUGUCCAAAGUGAUCAAAUUGACCCGAACAAAACGAAUUUAAUGGUCUAGAAAGCACGGAAAUACUUAAGGGGCUGAAUUGACAAAUAUACAAAACAUCAGAGGGCGAAAUUGUCAUUUUCCUUUCAAAAUAAUAUUGGAAAACUAAUACGACUGUUGUGCAUGUUUAUGUAAAGUAGUUGUUGAUAUUUUCUUGUACUUCUUAUCUAUUCAAGUUUAUCAAAGUUAUAAUCACAUAGAAGAUUUUAUUCGAACAUAUUUCGAAUAGUUUAUAAGAUAAUAUACAAAUUUUAAAUUUUAUAACUCGAAACGUAUAAAUCAGUACAAAUGAGUUAAAUAUUUAUUACUUUAUAUGAAGUUUAUGGUGCACCGCACAUAUGGAAAGUAGUUGGGUAUGGUUGGAGGUGAUACGAAAUCCAUCCACACCAAUCUUGCCAUGCAACAAAGACAUGACUUAAUGGACAAAUAAAAUAUCCCAAUUUUCAAACCUAAAUCAUCUGUGAUAUUGUCAGGCUGACCCACGGUGGCACCGUCAUCAAUGGUGGAGGAGCCGCCGUCUAUUAAUAAUACUUAAUUAAUAAGCCCUCUUCCACUCGUUCUUUUACUUAAAAGAAAACAAACUUUGUGUGAAUAAUCACAAGAAUAAAUAAAGAAAAUAUACAACAAAUAAAUAAUAUAUGAGUUUAAUUAUAUCAAGUUUUAAGAAUAUAACUAUGCUUUCAAAGACAAAAUGAGAUAUAGACAUUGAAUAGAAGUCGUUGACUAAACAUUGCAAUCGAACUUAAUCCCUAUAUGACAAAUGGCACUUCGCUUUUAUAACUAUUUUGGGAUUAAUUUAUAUUUGCUUUUAACAAGUUACUAUAAAAAAUGGUAUUUUAUCAUUACUCAUUUUUAGACAAAACCGUAAACAUGAGUGUGGUAUAUUAAAAAUUAUCACUUUAAUCCAAAACCAUUUAGAAUAAUAUCAAGGUCCAAAAUUUUAUUUUGUUGUAUUUUUAAUCUAAUUUAGUGGCUGGCUAAACAUUGCAAUCAAACUUAAUCCCAAUAUGACAAAUGGCACUAUAGUUGUUAUAAAUAUUUUUGUAUAAAUAAAAUGGUAUUUUACUAUUACACAUUUUUAAUUAAGAAAAAACUGCAAAUAUAGUAUUUGUUGAAAAUUAUCACUUUCAUCCUAAAAUAUUUUGAGUAAUAUUAAUGGUCCGAAACUUUUAUUUUGUUGUAUUUUUUAUCCAAUUUAUUUUUUAAUUUUUUACAUUGACGAUUUUGCCCUUAUUUUUUUCAACUUGUUUAUUUAAAUUUUUUUGAAUAAAAGAAAAAUAAUAAACAAAAAUGAAAUAUCUCUCUCUUUCUCUCUCUCAAAAAAUAAAAAAAACAAAACAAAAAAACUAAAAUACCCUCCUUCUUCCCCGUCUCUCNAUAUAUAUAUAUAUAACAUUUAAACUUAUCUCUAUAUAGGCUUAGGUUAUUUUGUUUUUACAAACUAUUAUAUGUCAGAAUGCAUAGAUCAGGACCAACGGAUUAAAUUAAUCAAUGGACAUGAUUUGAGGGUGUAUGAUAUUACAAUGGGAUAACAUGUACCAUAUAAUCACAUAAAUUUUAGCAAAAGAGUAUUUUGGACAACUAACUACAUUUAUAAAAGGAAAUUUUCGGAUUUUUAGGGAUAAUUAAUUCUCCUAAUUUUAAAAAUCUAAAAUUUUUUAAUUAAUUUAAUUUUAAUUCUAACGUAAUUUGUAUACAUAACCGAUUUUAUUCUGUCAGAAUAUUUUUUUUUUGUUAGAAUGGUGUUCUUUCAGAAUUUUAUUCUAUUAUAGUAUUAUUGAAAAAUAACAACAUUCUUGAAUCCGAGGUUGAAAAAUAACAACAUUCUAAUAUAUUCUUAUACAUCCGAACUUAAAUACAAAUUCAUACAUAUUCUUACAGAUUAAAAGUCUUAUACAUUUUAAUAUAAUUAUACAUAUUCUAAAGAAUAUCAACAAAAAUGAAUAAAAUUCUUAAAAAAUAACAAUAUUCUAAAAUUGUGAGUAUGAUCAAACUUUAUUCAUUCUUCAAGUUAUUCCUAUUAGAUCUUCAACGCAUUCUUCCAUCCAUUCUAUCACAAAAUACAACAAAAACUAAUAAUGAUUAAAAACAUAUUACUUGCAAUUAACUAUCACUUUAUAUAUUCUAGUAGAAUACAUACAAUAUGACAGAAUACAUAAAAAAAUAAUAAUAGGCAAUCCAAGAGAAAUAUCUAUUACAAAAACAAAUANACUAUAAUUUUGGGAUGGAAGGAGUAAUAAAAUAAAAUAAUAAUAAUAAUAAUAAUAAUAAUAAUAAUAAUAAUAAUAAUAAUAAUAAUAAUAAUAAUAAUAAUAAUAAUAAUAGGCAAUCCAAGAGAAACAUCUAUUACAAAAUAAUAAUAAUAAUAAUAAUAAUAAUAAUAAAAGAUUAACAGGUACACAAAGAUUCUAAAAGAAUCUUUAAAUAUAAAGUGUACUUACCAUUUAAUUCUGAUAGAAUAUAUAUGCAAUUACCAUUUAUAGCAUCAUACAAUUACCCAUUACUAUUGUGUAACCAAAAUAUAUUAUAAAAUUUUUAAAAAACAUUCUUAAAGAAUCAUUAAUCCUUAAGUGUGAUUAUCAUUUUAAAUUCUAACCGAAUGUAUUCUAACAUAAUACACUAUACAAAGCAUAAUGUAUUCUUACAAAAUCUACUAUAUUGUGUAUUUGAUUUUCCUAAAAAAUCAGUAUUAUUGUAGAAUACAUUGUAUAAUAGUUUCUAACAUAAUACAUUAUACAAAGUAUAAUGUGUUCUUACAGCACCAAUUGGGUUUUCUUAAUGUGUUCAACAAAUUAAAACAAAAAUAACAAAUAAUUGUGUUUAGUAUAAUUGAUAAAAUAAAAAAUUACCUUGCUCAGUGAAACGAAAUUGUUGAAUUGAGAGUAAAAUCAAAUCAAUCUAUAUUAAUGAAUAAUCGAUCCACCAAGCAUUACCUAUUAAAUGGGAAAAUGAAUGUCACCAGUUGAUUAUUUAGAUUCGUUGAAUUCCAUACAACAUCAUUAUUUGUAAUCUUGGUGUACACAAAAGAUGAAAUAUAAUAAACAUAAAUGUGCAAUGUACUGGCCUAAACAAAACAAUUUAUAAAUUCUAUGUUUCACAUACGUUGAGAUUUAAUAUAGACUAUAUAUUGGGCACCUGAAAAGUCCAUUCCCAUACGUGUCAAUCUGUCGCCGGUGAGCACUUUCCGGUUUCUCCACUGCCAGUCAAAAGUCAAAAUAGACAUAGGCCUCUUCCAUCUAUCUCUGUCGAUUUAGAGUGGGAUUGCUCUGAAGAAAGAUAGGGUCUCCCUUUUUUCUUAUUCAAUUGAUAGUUAGUUUUCCGGUAAUGCCCCAUCUAAGAGCCUAUUCGUCGUAAGCCCUUAUAGAGUCAUAACCUAAUCUAAUCCAUAAUCAGGCUUAAGACAUGCAACCAACCUCUUCUUAGAUUCAGAAAGGGGCAGCCAAAGCAGGGACUUAUAAACUAGCAUCAGAUUCUGGACAUAUUCCUGCUACUAUAAGAUCCUUUACUCGUAAAUAAACUAUGGCAGUUCCUUUAGCAGCUCCCUCCGGGCCCGCAAAGAUAAGAGAAGAGCAGAUUCUUCCCAUCUAUGAAUCCAAACCUCCCGAGCAGCUGUAAGAACGGGUUUCGUUCUAGUGUNAUAUUUAUAGCCUUUUUUUUAUAUAAACCUGUUUAUUCAUCUUUUCAAAAUUUGGAGUUCCUUAAUACAUUUGUUAAAAUGGGUCCUAAUAGAAUUUUUUAUGACAAAAUAAAAAAUUCUAUAUAUGAUUGGUCAUAUAAUCGGGGUUACAUAGAUGCCUUUUAUGGAAGAUUCUUAACUGCGGGGAUUAGAAAAUUGGCCAACUUUGCUCAUUUUUUUGAUAGACGAAUAAUUGAUGCAAUUCCAAAUGGAGUUGGUCUUAUGAGUUUCUUUGGAGCAGAGGUUAUUAAAUCGGUAGGGGGUGGGCGUAUUUCUUCUUAUCUGUUCUUUUAUUUUUCUUAUGUAGCAAUUUUUUUAUUAAUUUACAAUUUUUUCAAUGUUUGAACCUUGUUGACUAAUCUCGCUAACAUUGAACUUGGUAAAAUGACCCUACCUGCCAACGCGCGGAUAGAUAGGGCGGGCGAAGCCCGAAGGGGAUGGAUGUCUGAGCGGUUGAAAGAGUCCGUCUUGAAAACCGAAGUAUUGAUAGGAAUACCGGGGGUUCGAAUCCCUCUCCUCCGCGAGGUCAUAAGUUCUCUCUUGCGUUAUCUUUAGAUAAGAACGAAUCGGAUCAACUCGACUGAUAUGAUAGAUUGAAUGGUAGCUUGUUUUAUGAUUUAGUUAGGACUCUGUCUCCCUUUCGUGAUCUUCCGCCCUCCGGUUGGGGAAGGUCCGGAAAGCCCUCACUCCCCCUUUUUCAAAAAGAAGCCCCGCUCAACAAGGGGCCCUCUCUGAUAAGGAAGAAAACGAAAGAAUCUCAAUUUUACGAAAAAUCCGGUCCGAUGGUUGUUCU
rnacentral:lncRNA from 1 species